GUUGCUAAAAACUAGACUAGUCCUGAUUUCUACUUUCCCUUUGCCUGGAGGCUAAGCAAACAGUCAUCUAUCCAAACUGUCAACUUAAACACCACUUUCUUGGCAAUCAGCCUCUCCUUGCCCUUCCUAGUAUCUUAAAAUAAAUAAAUAAGUACACAACGGAGGUGGAAAGCCAAGCCAAGAGCACCAAUUUGUGUCCUCGGUUUUUCAGACCUUGGGUUCGUGGCAGAGCAGAGACGCAGAAGCACUAGCCUGCAGUAUUCCAUAAAACUAACAGCUGGAUCAAGCCAUACAGUUUCUUUGUCAGUACCAGAAAUGGUACAAUUGACUGUGCAAAGCUACAGAAGAUCCCUGCAAGAAUUUUCAGAAAGUCCAGUUAUGUCAAGAUGCAGCAGCCUCAGG
rnacentral:lncRNA from 1 species